UCUAACCGCUUGAAGAGAACCUCAGAAGUUCUUGUUUGUCUACUCUGAUUUUUCGUUCCUUCGAUCUCCAUCUCAGGCAUUUGCUUUUCAUCUUCUCUGCAUGAAUCUAUUUCUCUAGGAACGUACCUCACACUUGGCCCAAUAUGUGGGCUGGGCUUGCAACUUCAAUCCGGAAUCUACACACAAACUCAGAGCAGUGAAUGUUGGUUUUCAUUCAGAUGGAGGGCACAGAAUGCUUUAAACCACCACCCUAUCAUGUCAGACCACAGCAGACACCCCUCCCAUCCCCCUCAUCCCCCUGUCUGUGUUCAUGAGAAUCCUGCAGGCAGAAGAAAUUGAGAAACUCACCAUAUCAUUGAAAGCUGGUGAAUGAAGCAGGAAGAAGAGAAAUCCAAGGAAACCCAUAGGACCAAUCCUGUGAUGAGAACUCCGUCAAGAGGAAAACUCACUUUAGAGUUGGGGGAGGCCAAAAAAAGUGAUUCCACUCAUGUGAAGAGAGAACAAGGCCACAGACAUUUACUUACAUCUUCAAUGAGAAUCACCAUAAUAAAGCAACAGACCUGCUGCCAUGCAUGAAACACUUUGCCACAAAGAGAACACAGCAAGACUUCAAAAAAAAAUGAAGAGCAACACAGAGAUAUCAUUUUAAAAAUCUCAGUUCAACAAAAACUACGAAGCCCAUGAUUAUGAUGUGUCAGCUGGAGGCAGCAAUACCAUGGAUGGAUUCAUUGUUUCAUUUCUACUUCUGAGUAACAGGACCUGGUGGACAGUGUAAUAAAAUAGUUGAGGACUUCUCUAUCAAAAAUCCGAAAUUGUUUUUGCUUUUGCCCCUCUGAAAAUAGUUUGGAAUUAAUAUCAUGUACAGCAGAGAACUCUAUUCCAAAGCAUUCACUAUAAUGCUAAACAUAAUCACAAAGAAACAGUUAAAAAAAAGCAAUAACCCACUUAACAAACCUGCAAUGUAUGGAUGUAUGGAGUCAUGCAGCAACUAUGGAAGACAAUAACUUUCUCCUUUAAAGGCAAAUAAUUAAAACCAUCUCCUGAUGAAAAACUUCUCUACCUCAAAUUAGAAUUAAACAAAUUAAUCGUUCUUUGCUUUGCUUUUGGGCCACCAUGGCUUCAAUGCCAAUUAUCUAAAUGAGUUCUUCCUUUGUUUAUUGGCCCCUCUCACUGCUGAGACAAAUUGCUUUGGGUGUUCCUAAUGCCAUGUGCUCUUCAAGUUUACCCUACUCUAGGAGUCUGUAGCCUGUAUCACUUAGGGUUAGAUGAUGGUCAUUAGAUCUAGAGCCAAACUCUUAAAAGAGCCUAUCCUGGCCCUCAGAUCCUCCCUUCCCUCUCUGCCAUUGGACUAGCCCCUUGCUGGAGUGGUUAGGGUUUUGUCUCUUGUGAGAGAGUGAUUGAAAGAAAAGGGGCAGAACUCUAGGAAUUUCUACUAUGCAGCAGAACUCCCUGCCACAGGCCCCAUCUGUGCCAAACCUGUGGGCAAUUAUGCCCAGGACUCAAGGGAAGCGACAUUUUGGUUUGGGGAGAACAGGAUACUGACUGAAGUCCAGCUUCACCCACUCUCUGUUCCUGUGGAGAAGAUGAGCUCCCAUUAUUUAAAGAUGGAACAAUUCAAUUUCCCUCCUAACUGAGCUUACUGAGAAAACAGGGCCUGACCUUGGACCCCUUCCACCCCCCUACCCCCAUAGCACUUUAGAGUAGCAGCGUGGCUCAGUGGAAAGAGCCUGGGCUUGGGAGUCAGAGGGCAUGGGUUCUAAUCCGGAUCCGCCACUUGCCAGCUGUGUGACUUUGGGCAAGUCACUUAACUUCUCUGUGCUUCAGUUCCCUCAUCUGUAAAAUGGGGAUGAAGACUGUGAGCCCCACAUGGGACAAUCUGAUCACCUUGGAUCCCCUAGGGCUUAGAACAGUGCUUUGCACAUAGUAAGCGCUUAACAAAUACCACCAUUUUUUAAAAAUGUACAUAUCUUUAUACUCUAUUGCUUCCACCUACCCGUAAUCUAUAUUAAUGUCUAUCUCCUGUGCUAGACUGUAAGCUCCUUGUGUUCAAAUUUUAUUGUACUCUCUGAAGUGCUUAGGUCAGUGCUCUGCACACAGGAAGCAUUCCAUAAAUACUGUAGUUUGAUUAACAAGGGAAAGUUCUGAAUAGCACAGAUGGGUCACCUGUCGGCCCUUCAUCCUGUUGCUGGUCCUGGUUAGUCAGCCUGAAUCUCUUUGUGGAAAUAGAGUGGAAUGUUUUCUCUCAUUUCCCUCUCCAACUAAAAAAGUCAUGUGAAGAUGAGGAAAUUUAACCUAAGUCCAGAAACUGAAUUCUUUUAAUAACCAAGAAUCUAAUUGCAGAUGUGCCGGGGUGUUCCUGGAGGAAUCGUGGCCUAGCUGAUUGCAUCGCAAUGGUGACCCCCUAGGUUGGAACCAGCUCUGGGUGUUGGUCCAGGCUCCCAGACAUCUCUGGGGUCCGUCUGAGUUACAGAGGGUGAGGAAGGACCUGAGGGAGGACUGAAAGCUGCCCAACUUCGGCACAGUCAAGUGAGAACCUCUUGAGCAUAGUUAGAUAAUGGAGGCACUUGAAGCGUGAGGUACAAGCAUUCUGCCCACUUCAAUCCAGAGCUGCUUCUGAGGAGCCCUUCCCAUCUACCCAGAAUUUCUUUCUGAAUUUCUCAAAUACCACAUGCCCCAGAAAUCUGAGGGCUGUGCCUAGGCAAAUUUUCUAUCACACUCCAGGACACAAAACGGGGUUCCCCUGACCCAAGUUUCCUGGUUUAAGGUAUCUCUACCCCUACCAAACUUUACUUUUCAUUUGGGAUACUUUUAUUCUGCAAACAAUUCUCUAUAAGCUUUAUAGAGGAAUCGUGGCCUAGCUGAUUGUAUCGCAAUGGUGACCCCCUAGGUUGGAACCAGCUCUGGGUGU
rnacentral:lncRNA from 1 species